AUUGAACGCUGGCGGCAUGCCUUACACAUGCAAGUCGAACGGUAACGGGCCUUCGGGUGCCGACGAGUGGCGAACGGGUGAGUAAUGCAUCGGAACGUACCUUUCAGUGGGGGAUAACGUAGCGAAAGUUACGCUAAUACCGCAUAUUCUGUGAGCAGGAAAGCAGGGGAUCGCAAGACCUUGCGCUGAUUGAGCGGCCGAUGUCAGAUUAGCUAGUUGGUGAGGUAAAAGGCUCACCAAGGCGACGAUCUGUAGCGGGUCUGAGAGGAUGAUCCGCCACACUGGAACUGAGACACGGUCCAGACUCCUACGGGAGGCAGCAGUGGGGAAUUUUGGACAAUGGGGGCAACCCUGAUCCAGCCAUGCCGCGUGAGUGAAGAAGGCCUCGGUUGUAAGA
rnacentral:rRNA from 1 species